CGGCGUCCGGACCGAUCCCGCCGGCGUCCUCGGCUUCCGGGACGAGGUGAACCGGGCCCAGAGCCGCGAGCCGCGAGCCGCGGGCCGGGCCCAUGGUGGUGCACUUCAGCUGCGGCGGGGCGGGCCCACGCGGGCUGUGCAGGUGCAGGUGCGGCGGGGCAGGGCCACAAGGGAUGUCCACCCUGCCCCUGCCAUGGCCCGGCUCCUCCUCAGGGUCAGUCUGAAAGGGAAUGAGGCCAACUGCUGCUGUUAACAGAGGACAAACAAGUCCAUGCAAAUGCUAUGCAAAUGAUAUGCAAACGACACACAAAUAUUAUGCAAAGAGCCCUGGUGGCUUAAACACACUCCUCACUCCAGGCCAGCAAGGGGCUGAGGACCAAUGCCCGUCCAGCCUCUCUGAGGACCCCUUGGAGACUGCCGCCCACCCCUCCCUUGGGGACCCUGGUUCUUCCUGAGCCCCCCAGGAGCAAUGGGCCCAGGCCCCGCCUCCCGCACACACCCACCCUGAUGUAGUCGGCUCCGGGCCCGCUGUCAUCCUCGUUGAGCAGGAUGACUCAAGGGUAGCAUCAACUGGGAAGGGAGGUGCCGCUCAGUUCUCCAGGGCACAGCUCGUGGGCCUCACCCUGCCUCUUUGCCCGCAGACCCUGUGGUGAGCAGAGAUGGAGGGUCCAGGGUAUGCAAGGGGGAGCCUCAGGUCAGCGGUGGCAGAUGCUCGGCCUGCCCCCCACCUCCCCCAGGCCCGACGGGUGACGCCCUGGCCUCCGCCCUCACAGGGAAGGAUGUUCUUGUAGUGAUUCUUGGGCUUGUUCUCCACACUCUGCCCCUCCUUCCGAGGGUACAGGAACCGGCAUUCCUGCUGCUGCAGCAUCUGGAGGUGAUGGAGCCUUCAGCUCACAGCCCCGGCCCCUUCCCAGAGCCCGAGAUGGCCACCCCCAGCCCGUCCCGUGUGGGCGGAAGAGUACCUAGGUGCCGAGGCAAGAGACUGAAGGCACAAACUGUUUCAGUAUAAUAAAGAAAAUAGAAUAAGAAUAGUCAUAAUACAAAUUAGAUACAGCGAUGAUCAUGAACAAUUAUCCAUCAUUAUUAUAAACAUUAUUAAUCAUUAGCUUUUAAUAUUACUCUGUUGCAUUAAUAAUAUAACCUAGGAAUAACCGGCAGGUAUAGGGUCAGGUGCUGAAGGGACAUUGUGAGAAGUGAAUAGAAGGCAAGAGGGGAGCCUUCUGUCAUGCCCGCAUAAGGGCCGCUUGAGGGCCCCUUGGUCAAGCGGUAACGCCAGUGUCUGGGAAGGCACCCGUUACUGAGCAGACCGGGAAAGGGAGUCUCCUUUCCUUGGAGGAGUCAGGGAACGCUCUGCUCCACCAGCUUCUUGUGGGAGGCUGGAUGUUACCCAGGCCUGCCUGCAGUCAUCCGGAGGCCUGAACCCCUCCCUGUGGUGCUUCAAUGGUCACGUUCCUUGUCCACUUUCAUGCUCCUUCCGUACUCCUGGUUCCUCUUUGAAGUUCGUAGUAGAUAGCGGUAGAAGAAAUAGUGAAAGUCUUAAAGUCUUUGAUCUUAUAAGUUCAUAGAAGAAAACGCUGAUGCCUGCCGCCUUCUCUCUCUGCUUCAGCUACCUAAGAGGGAAGGGCCCGCUGUCCUGUGAUCACGUGACUUGCUUCACCUUGUCAAUCACUUAGAAGACUGACCCUCCUUAUCCUGCCCCCUUGUCUUGUAUGCAAUAAAUAUCAGCGAGCCCAGCCGUUCAGGGCCACUACCGGUCUCCGUGUCUUUGUGGUAGUGGUCCCCGGGGCCCAGCUGUUUUCUCUU
rnacentral:lncRNA from 10 species